GACGAACGCUGGCGGCAUGCCUAACACAUGCAAGUCGAGCGAGCAGAUCCCUUCGGGGUGAAGCUAGCGGCGGACGGGUGAGUAACACGUGGGCAACCUGCCUCAUGGAGGGGAAUAGCCUUCCGAAAGGAAGAUUAAUACCGCAUAAGAUUGUAGCUUCGCAUGAAGCAGCAAUUAAAGGAGCAAUCCGCUAUGAGAUGGGCCCGCGGCGCAUUAGCUAGUUGGUGAGGUAACGGCUCACCAAGGCGACGAUGCGUAGCCGACCUGAGAGGGUGAGCGGCCACAUGGGGACUGAGACACGGCCCAGACUCCUACGGGAGGCAGCAGUGGGGAAUAUUGCACAAUGGGGGAAACCCUGAUGCAGCAAUGCCGCGUGAGUGAUGACGGCCUUCGGGUUGUAAAGCUCUGUCUUCGGGGACGAUAAUGACGGUACCCGAGGAGGAAGCCACGGCUAACUACGUGCCAGCAGCCGCCGUAA
rnacentral:rRNA from 1 species